GUAACGGCGAGUGAAGCGGCAACAGCUCAAAUUUGAAAUCUGGCCCCCUCCGCGGGGGUCCGAGUUGUAAUUUGCAGAGGAUGCUUCUGGCGCGGCGCCUUCCGAGUUCCCUGGAACGGGACGCCACAGAGGGUGAGAGCCCCGUCCGGUCGGACGCCCAGCCCUAUGGAAGCACCUUCGACGAGUCGGGUAGUUUGGGAAUGCUGCCCUAAAUGGGAGGUAUAUGUCUUCUAAAGCUAAAUACCGGCCAGAGACCGAUAGCGCACAAGUAGAGUGAUCGAAAGAUGAAAAGCACUUUGAAAAGAGGGUUAAACAGUACGUGAAAUUGUUGAAAGGGAAGCGCUCAUGACCAGACUUGGGCCCGGGGGAUCACCCGGCGUUCUUUCGCCGGGGCACUUCGCCGGCUGCCCAGGCCAGCAUCAGUUCGCGGCGGGGGACAAAGGCUUCGGGAACGUGGCUCCCUACGGGGAGUGUUAUAGCCCGCUGCGCAAUGCCCUGCCGCGGACUGAGGUUCGCGCUUCCGCAAGGAUGCUGGCGUAAUGGUCAUCAGCGACCCGUCUUGAAACACGGACCAAGGAGUCGUCUUCGUAUGCGAGUGUUCGGGUGUCAAACCCCUACGCGGAAUGAAAGUGAACGCAGGUGAGAGCUUCGGCGCAUCACCGACCGAUCCUGAUGUUCUCGGAUGGAUUUGAGUAAGAGCAUACGGGGCCGGACCCGAAAGAAGGUGAACUAUGCCUGUAUAGGGUGAAGCCAGAGGAAACUCUGGUGGAGGCUCGCAGCGGUUCUGACGUGCAAAUCGAUCGUCAAAUAUGGGCAUGGGGGCGAAAGA
rnacentral:rRNA from 1 species